GACGAACGCUGGCGGCGUGCUUAACACAUGCAAGUCGAGCGGUAAGGCCCCUUCGGGGGUACACGAGCGGCGAACGGGUGAGUAACACGUGAGCAACCUACCCUCAACUUCGGGAUAAGCCUCGGAAACGGGGUCUAAUACCGGAUAUCAUCUUCUGCUUCAUGGCAGGGGGUUGAAAGUUCUGGCGGUUGGGGAUGGGCUCGCGGCCUAUCAGCUUGUUGGUGGGGUAAUGGCCUACCAAGGCGCGACGGGUAGCCGGCCUGAGAGGGCGACCGGCCACACUGGGACUGAGACACGGCCCAGACUCCUACGGGAGGCAGCAGUGGGGAAUAUUGCGCAAUGGACGAAAGUCUGACGCAGCAACGCCGCGUGAGGGAUGACGGCCUUCGGUU
rnacentral:rRNA from 1 species